rnacentral:rRNA from 1 species
UACGGAGGGAGCUAGCGUUGUUCGGAAUUACUGGGCGUAAAGCGCACGUAGGCGGCUUUGUAAGUUAGAGGUGAAAGCCCGGGGCUCAACUCCGGAACUGCCUUUAAGACUGCAUCGCUUGAAUCCAGGAGAGGUGAGUGGAAUUCCGAGUGUAGAGGUGAAAUUCGUAGUUAUUCGGAAGAACACCAGUGGCGAAGGCGACUCACUGGACACGUAUUGACGCUGAGGUGCGAAAGCGUGGGGAGCAAACAGG